GACGAACGCUGGCGGCGUGCUUAACACAUGCAAUUCGAACGGAAAGGCCCUGCUUUUGUGGGGUGCUCGAGUGGCGAACGGGUGAGUAACACGUGAGUAACCUGCCCUUGACUUUGGGAUAACUUCAGUAAACUGGGGCUAAUACCGGAUAGUAGCUCCUGCUUCAUGGUGGGUGUUGGAAAGUUUCGGCGGUUGGGGAUGGACUCGCGGCUUAUCAGCUUGUUGGUGGGGUAUUGGCUUACCAAGGCUUUGACGGGUAGCCGGCCUGUGAGGGUGACCGGCCACAUUGGGACUGAGAUACGGCCCAGACUCAUACGGGAGGCAGCAGUGGGGAAUAUUGCACAAUGGGCGGAAGCCUGAUGCAGCAACGCCGAGUGCGGGAUGACGGCCUUCGGGUUGUAAACCGCUUUCGCCUGUGACGAAGCGUGAGUGAAGGUAAUGGGUAAAGAAGAACCGGAUAACUACGUG
rnacentral:rRNA from 1 species